UCCCGCCUGCCCUGUGACUCAUGAGUUUAACGGCCGCAGUAUUUUGACUGUGCAAAGGUAGCGUAAUCACUUGUCUUUUAAAUGGAGACCAGUAUGAAUGGCAUAACGAGGGCCAAGCUGUCUCCUUUUUCCAGUCAAUGAAAUUGAUUCCCCUGUGCAGAAGCAGGGAUAAAAACAUAAGACGAGAAGACCCUAUGGAGCUUAAGACACAAGACAGCCCAUGUUAAAAACCCAUAUUAAAUGGAAAAAACCAAAUGGACUCUGUCCUUUUGUCUUUGGUUGGGGCGACCAUGGAGUAACAAAAAACCCCCAUGUGGAACAGGGCCUAGGCCCUUAAAGCUAGAGCCACAGCUCUAACAAGCAGAACAUCUGACCUUCAAGAUCCGGCAAAGCCGAUCAACGGACCGAGUUACCCUAGGGAUAACAGCGCAAUCCCCUUUUAGAGCCCAUAUCGACAAGGGGGUUUACGACCUCGAUGUUGGAUCAGGACACCCUAAUGGUGCAGCCGCUAUUAAGGGUUCGUUUGUUCAACGAUUAAAGUCCUACGUGAU
rnacentral:rRNA from 1 species